GCGCCUCGUGAAUUCAUCUCCGGGGGUAGAGCACUGUUUCGGCUAGGGGGCCAUCCCGGCUUACCAACCCGAUGCAAACUGCGAAUACCGGAGAAUGUUAUCACGGGAGACACACGGCGGGUGCUAACGUCCGUCGUGAAGAGGGAAACAACCCAGACCGCCAGCUAAGGUCCCAAAGUCAUGGUUAAGUGGGAAACGAUGUGGGAAGGCCCAGACAGCCAGGAUGUUGGCUUAGAAGCAGCCAUCAUUUAAAGAAAGCGUAAUAGCUCACUGGUCGAGUCGGCCUGCGCGGAAGAUGUAACGGGGCUAAACCAUGCACCGAAGCUGCGGCAGCGACACUGUGUGUUGUUGGGUAGGGGAGCGUUCUGUAAGCCUGUGAAGGUGUGUCGUGAGGCAUGCUGGAGGUAUCAGAAGUGCGAAUGCUGACAUAAGUAACGAUAAAGCGGGUGAAAAGCCCGCUCGCCGGAAGACCAAGGGUUCCUGUCCAACGUUAAUCGGGGCAGGGUGAGUCGACCCCUAAGGCGAGGCCGAAAGGCGUAGUCGAUGGGAAACGGGUUAAUAUUCCCGUACUUGGUGUUACUGCGAAGGGGGGACGGAGAAGGCUAUGUUGGCCGGGCGACGGUUGUCCCGGUUUAAGCGUGUAGGUGUGUGUUCCAGGUAAAUCCGGUUCACUUUAACACUGAGGCGUGACGACGAGGCACUACGGUGCUGAAGCAACAAAUGCCCUGCUUCCAGGAAAAGCCUCUAAGCAUCAGGUAACAUCAAAUCGUACCCCAAACCGACACAGGUGGUCAGGUAGAGAAUACCAAGGCGCUUGAGAGAACUCGGGUGAAGGAACUAGGCAAAAUGGUGCCGUAACUUCGGGAGAAGGCACGCUGACACGUAGGUGAAGUGAUUUACUCAUGGAGCUGAAGUCAGUCGAAGAUACCAGCUGGCUGCAACUGUUUAUUAAAAACACAGCACUGUGCAAACACGAAAGUGGACGUAUACGGUGUGACGCCUGCCCGGUGCCGGAAGGUUAAUUGAUGGGGUCAGCGCAAGCGAAGCUCCUGAUCGAAGCCCCGGUAAACGGCGGCCGUAACUAUAACGGUCCUAAGGUAGCGAAAUUCCUUGUCGGGUAAGUUCCGACCUGCACGAAUGGCGUAAUGAUGGCCAGGCUGUCUCCACCCGAGACUCAGUGAAAUUGAACUCGCUGUGAAGAUGCAGUGUACCCGCGGCAAGACGGAAAGACCCCGUGAACCUUUACUAUAGCUUGACACUGAACAUUGAGCCUUGAUGUGUAGGAUAGGUGGGAGGCUUUGAAGUGUGGACGCCAGUCUGCAUGGAGCCGACCUUGAAAUACCACCCUUUAAUGUUUGAUGUUCUAACGUGGACCCGUUACCCGGGUUGCGGACAGUGUCUGGUGGGUAGUUUGACUGGGGCGGUCUCCUCCUAAAGAGUAACGGAGGAGCACGAAGGUUGGCUAAUCCUGGUCGGACAUCAGGAGGUUAGUGCA
rnacentral:rRNA from 1 species